rnacentral:lncRNA from 1 species
AGGAACACAAUCAUCAAAAUAAAAGAUACAAUAACAGAAGAUACAUAGUGUCACGGUGGGUAUGGUUACGCAGAAGGUUCUCUUUGGCUUUAAAAUCUAUUGAGAUUCUCAAUUUUAAAUAAUAUUAUUUAAGGUAGACAGAAAAAAGUACUCUUGUCAUAAAUCUAGACUGUUGGUGCUGCAUUAAAUGCUUUUAGUUAGGAUUCUUAAAUCCAUCUCUUAAAUAAUUCAAAAAUGACACAGAGCAAUCAUCUAAAUCCAUCAGUAAGAUGCACCCAAGGAUUGAUUCAAUGAUCCUGUUCAGGUUUUUCUACUGCCCUAGGGUGUGCUGUUUUUUUCUUUUUUCUUUUUUUUUAACUCCUAAUUUUUUUCUGCAACUUCCUUUUCUCUGUAUGUUCCAAGAAGCUGAUGAUUUUUUUAAAAGUACAUUUGCUUUGUGGUCACAAUGCAUUACUAACUAAAUGAUUAUUAUUCCCAGCUACAACACGAACGUCUCCAUAUACUUAAAGAUUUCCAAUAGGAAAAUAAAAAUGGUCUUGUAAGUGACAGUCUCUAACAAAAAUGUCUGGUCUUUCACUGUGCAGCUUAGUCUGCAACGGCUUCCCCAGGCCCUAAAUACAUUUUUUCUUUUAAAUACAGAGGUUAAAUUGAAAUGUUGACUAUCAUUGCCACUCAUUUUUAUGAAGAUAAUUAAAUUAAUUGGCCUUAAUAACCAAUGAAAUUUAUGCUCAAGUGUUACCCUAUUUUAUUGAAAUAUAGUAGAUUUAUAAUAUUGUGGUGGUCUCAAGUGUACAGCACAGUGAUUCAUCUAUAUACAUACAUAUAUAUAUAUUCUUUUUGAGAGUCCUAUCACAAAAUAUUGAGUAUGGUUCCUGUGCUAUACAGUGGGUCUUUGUUGGUUAUCUGCUUUAUAAAUAGUAGUGUGUGGGGGUUAAUCCCAAUCUCCUAAUUUAUCCUCCUCCCCUUUCCCCUCUUGGCCAUACCACCCUGAACACCCUCAUUUCGAUCUCAUCUGAGCUUGGAGGCGAAGAGGGUCGGCCCUGGUUAGUACUUGCACGGGAAACCAAGGAUGUGGUAUUAAUUCCAUCUCAGUUGGCCUCUCCAUCAUUCUGGUCUUCAGUUACCACGUGGGUCGAAUGUGAAGAUAAUUAUUGUGUUUUACAUAAGCGGUAGUAAGUGGUGGUAAAUAUUAUUGUUUGUGUCAAUUUAAUACUGAAUGUUUGCUUGAGUAACGAUCGAGGAGAGGCUUGAGCAACUGGAUACAAACGGCAGAUGCCUCUUGCUUACCGCCCCGCACACUUCAUUCCCUCCUGUGAUGGUGCAGCUUCAGCGCCCUGCGCCCGUGAAGCUGUCGAUAACUAGUCAAUGCGUAUGGGCCAGUCCAGAUGUUGCCCAUCACAUGUAUUAAGCUUGACAGGAUUCAUUUAGCAGCCAAGUGUAGGGAGAGCGUUGCACACUCCUGUAGCACCGGUAACAUAAUUCAAUAAUAUGCAAUAACAGUGAUAAGAAGGUGAUGAAAAGCUGACCAGUAAUUGCUUUUUUUUUUUUUUCUGGUUUAUGAUAACUACUUUUGAUGCUUUAAAUACUGCUUGAGGAAAUUAUAGAAAAGAAUCAGCUGCCAGUCUAAAAUAAAACACUCUGUAAUGCAUUCUUCUUAACGUUAUUGUGGCGAGAAUACAUUACAUGAGAUCUACCCUCUUAACAAAAUGUUUAAGUGUGCAGUACAGUAUCGUCAACUCUGGGCACAAUGCUGUGUGGUGGAUCUAGAACUUUUCAUCUUGCUUAACUGAAACUUUAUGCCCCUCUUUCUCUUGCCCCCAGCCCCUGGCAACCAUCAUUCCAUUUUCUGCUUCUGUGAGUUUGAUUAUUUCAGAUAACUCAAAUAAGUGGAAUCAUGCGAUAUUUGUUCUUCUGUGACUGGCUUAUGUCACUUAGCAUAAUGUCCUCGAGGUUCAUCCAUAUUGUCGAAUAUUGUAGGAUUUCCUUCUCUUAUAAAGCAAAUACUCAGUUAUAUAUUUUCUUUAUCCACUUAACUGUUUUCCUCCACAUCUUUGCUAUCAUGAAUAAUGCUAUAACGUAAACAUGACUGCAGAUAUGUGCUUGAGAUUCUGAUUUUAAUUAUUUCAGAUUAAAAACUCCCAAAUGGAUUGCAAGAUCAUUUGGUAGUUCUAUUUCUUAAUUCUUUGAGGAACCGCCAUACUGUUUUCCAUAGUGGCUGCACCAAUUUACACUCCCACCACCAGGGUGCAAGGGUUCCUAUUUUUCUACAGCUCGCCAACACUAGUUUUUGUUUGUUUUGUUUUUUGUUGUUUUUUUGGUAAUAUAUAUAAAAUGACCAUCCUAACAGGUGUAAAGUGAUAUCUCACUGUGGUUUUGGCUGCUUUUUUAUUUUUUCUGAUAAUUAAUGAUUGUGACCACUUUUUCAUACUUUUUCUUACGUCUUUUGGCCACUUCAUAUCUUCUCCGGAGAAAUAUCUAUUCAAGUCCUUGAGCACAUUUAAUUAAGCAUUAGUUUUGUUUUGUUUUGGCUGUUGAAUUUUAGGAGUUCCUUGUAUAUUUUGGGUAUUAACCUCUUUUCAGAGAUAUUGUUUGCAGGUAUUUUCAUAUUGUUUGCAAGAAUUUUCACUCUGUUGAUUGUUUUCUUCUCUGUGCUAAAGGUUUUUAGUUUGAUGCAGUCUCACUUGUCUGUAUUUGCUUUUAUUGCCUGUGUUUUGUUGUAAUAUUUACGAAAUCACUGCCAAGACCAAUGUCAUGAAGGUUUUCCCUUUCCGUUUUCUUCCAAGAGUUUCAUAGUUUCAGGUCUAUGUUUAAGACUUUAAUCCAUUUUUAGUUGAUUUUUGUGCAUACAGUGUAUUUUUAAAAGCCACCAUUUUAAGUUCUGUACAGUAAUCAGUCUUAUGUAUGCAACAAAUCUAUACACACCCUCCUUUGAAAAUUCUCUCUUGACUUUUGAAAUAUAUGUAAUUAAAAUUUUGUUUCAAUAGCUAUCAAUAAUUGUGACUGUUUAUAAAGCAGUCACCAGUACUUUGAAUUGCCUUUUUGAAAUCAGGUGAUUACAUAUAAAUAUGUGAUAUGCACCAGUGUUUUGAAGGAGUAGUAUGUUUUUUCUAAAAGCAGGAAACAAAAGCUUUGUUUAAAAUUUAGAAAGAUGUACAUAUCAGGUUUCAUGUAAAUUUUAUGGCAAAUUAAAUGAACAUAUAAUAAUAAAAAUAACACAAAUGAUUAACAAAUAUUUAAUUAAUAUGAUUUAGUUUUUCACCUUUUUGUAGGUUUUUGUGUAAAUGUAUUAAUGAAGCAUCAGGAGACAAGAAUCUUCUUUUCAGUCUGAAAAUAAGGUCACUACAGCCAGUGUCUACACUUCUAAGCUGUCUUAUAUUCUUUACUGCUGGGCCAAGGCUAGCGGUCUUCCUUGCCAUGGGCCCAUUCCUCUGCCCCACGGCGUGCUUCCAGGUCGGUCUGUUGGCUUGGAAAUAUUGCCGAUCCUGUCCUCAUUGCUAGGAUAAACUGGACUCUUGGGCUGCUUCAUUAUUUCAGGCACCUAGGUAGAUUUUCCCUUUGGUAGUAACACAACUUGACGUCUCAUUCCUUCCUAUUUAACAUCUCUGGCAUCUACCCUUUCCUUUCAGUUCCCACUGUCCCCAACGCAUCACCUCACAUUAGGAUGCACUUCGUAACUAACCCGGCUCUGGUUCUGUGUCCAUGUGGUUUAAUGUCACCAGGAAAUUCUCCCUAAAAACACUCAUCUCAAGAGCCGUCAGUUGCCAAUCCUAUCAAAUCCCUCUGCCUGAAUUUCAAGAUGGUCCUUUCACCAUAUCCUAUUUAUCCCGCCUGGUUUUCUGCUUCUUCACGUGACUUCUCAUAAUCCCAGAAUACGGCGUGUCGUUCGGAACCCAGUGUCUCUUCUGCUUUUUCCGCACAUCUGGAGCACUCUUCCUCUCCAAUGGCUGUCUCCCCCUGCCCCCCUCUUUUCUUAUUAGAGUAUAGCGGAUUUACACUGCUGUGUCGCUUUCUGCCGUGCAGCAGAGUGACCCCGUCAAACAUAUAGAUACAUUCUUUUUCUCACACCGUCUCCUACCUCUCUUUUCAGCGCCCACUCCGGUUUAUUCACGGUUGUAGUCCUGAUUGCAACACAGCCUGGAAUGCAGCAGGGACUCAGUAAUUGCAGAGCCUGAGUGAACCCAAAGGCCGCUGUGCCUGUGAUGUUUUCUCGGAUGGGUCCAGGUCACAGAGGCCCUUCCUUUUCUUGAAAUCUUUUCGUGCCCAUCGCCUGGAACUGCACGUCCAUUUAUUCCUUUAUAUUCACUGGGAGAUUUGACCAACCAGUGUUUGUUCUUAAAGGAUCGUAUACUCUGAUAUCGCUUAAUAAACACCCGGAUUAAAGGAAACUUGUUGGUCCAUGCUGCUCCCCUCUGCGCUGGAGUAGCUGUCUCACGGCUUAAGAUUUGUGCACCCAAGUCAGGUCCCCAGGGAGGAGGGGCCGCAUGAUAGGCAGGCACUCCCGUGUUAAAUUCAGACCAAUGUGCGUUCGAAUCCUGUCUCUAUCAAGAGCUCGUUCUAUGAUCUUCACUUUCCUAAAUCCGAUCUUCAUUUAUGAUCUUUGAAAAGGCCAUCCCAUAUCGCCAGCUCAAAAAUUAAAUAAAAUCAGGUGUGCAAAACGUAGGCUAUUACUUGCCCCCCGGAGAGCAUCCAAACAUGACCAUUGUGGCUAUAGUCGUUACUUGCUUUUUUUGUUGUUGUUAUUGUUGGAACUCCAGCAUGGGAUCCUUGGCUUUACUGCAAACUAGUGGCAAUGUGAGUUUGAAUAAUUUUAACGUAUUUUGAGACAUGCCUCAGCCAUUGUGAGAAGAGGGUUAGGAAAUAGUAAUUUCAAAAUUAUUUAGCACUAUUUUUUUUGAAGAAAGUGUUUGCUCACUUUUUGUUUUAUUUCAUUCGCUUAUUAAAUGAGAAUCAGAAUACAUACAUCACAGGAGUGAUGCAGAAGUGUAGUUUUGAUUUUUAAAAUAGUUUGACAAUGCAAAUGCUAUAACUGAGUAUUACAUAUUUUAAUAAAAGCUCAACUCAUCCUGCAGUACUCAUCAGUAUAGCAUCAUUUAAAACAUGAGGCUUGACUGACGUGUGUUGAAAUCCAGGUUCUGCCCUUGUACUGGCGCAACUUACCUGCUGUGUUCUGCAGCAGUUCCCUCACCGGUAAAAAUGGAGAAUAAACUUUCU